rnacentral:tRNA from 1 species
GGGGGUAUAGCUCAGCGAUCAGUGUGCCUGCUUGGUGUGCACUAGGUCCUGGGUUCAAUCCCCAGUGCCUCCC